GCCAGGCGUGGAGGCGCAUGCCUGUAAUCCCAGCUACUCAGGAGGCGGAGGCAGGAGAAUCACUUGAACCCAGGAGGUGGAGGUUGCAGUGAACUGAGAUUGCACCACUGCACUCCAGCCUGGGUGACAGAGUGAGACUCUGUCUCAA
rnacentral:SRP_RNA from 1 species